rfam:Homo sapiens chromosome 1, GRCh38 reference primary assembly.
GCCAGGCGCAGUGGUGUGCGCCUGUAGUCCCAGCUACUGGGGAGGUUGAGGCAGGAGAAUUGCUUGAAUCCGGGAGGUGGAGGUUGCAGUGAGCCGAGAUUGUGCCACUGCACUCCAGCCUGGGUGACAGAGCGAGACUCUGUCUCAA